rnacentral:rRNA from 1 species
AUGUCUUGGGAAAAAAUGACAAAGCCGAAAUGUGAGGGUGGUCUGGGCUUUCGUGAUAUGCGUAUCUUCAAUCAAGCUCUUCUUGCUAACCAAGCAUGGAGACUCGUUCAAAGACCGAAUAGCUUAUGUGCCAGAGUGUUGAAGGCUAAAUACUACCCAAAAGGAAAAAAUUUAGAUACGGUUUUCACGGCUGAUGCUUCACCGGUAUGGAGAGGAAUUGAAUAUGGGCUUGAACUCCUAAAACAGGGCAUGGUUUGGAGGGUAGGUGAUGGAAAGAGUAUCCAAAUAAUGCGGGAUAACUGGAUUCCUCGUCAUUCGGGCCUCUCCAUCCAAACCAUGAAGUGUAGGAGCAGACUCAGAUGGGUCCAUCAAUUAAUUGAUCCUCAACCUAAGGAAUGGAACAAGCAAAUCAUUGACAAUUUGUUCUACAGUUUUGAUGCUGAGGAGAUUUACAAAAUCAGACUUCCCGCUAUUCCUAUGGAAGAUACUCUCGCAUGGAACUAUGAAAAAAUGGUAUGUUCUCGGUAA